AUUGAACGCUGGCGGCAUGCUUUACACAUGCAAGUCGAACGGUAACAGGCCGCAAGGUGCUGACGAGUGGCGAACGGGUGAGUAAUGCAUCGGAACGUGCCCAGUCGUGGGGGAUAACGCAGCGAAAGCUGUGCUAAUACCGCAUACGAUCUAUGGAUGAAAGCGGGGGACCGUAAGGCCUCGCGCGAUUGGAGCGGCCGAUGUCAGAUUAGGUAGUUGGUGGGGUAAAGGCUCACCAAGCCAACGGUCUGUAGCUGGUCUGAGAGGACGACCAGCCACACUGGGACUGAGACACGGCCCAGACUCCUACGGGAGGCAGCAGUGGGGUAUUUUGGCCUAUGGGGGCAACCCUGAUCCAGCAAUGCCGCGUGCAGGAAGAAGGCCUUCGGGUUGUAAACUGCUUUUGUACGGAACGAAACGGUCUGGGUUAAUACCCUGGGCUAAUGACGGUACCGUAACAAUAAGCACCGGCUAACUACGUGCCAGCCGCCGCCGUAAUAC
rnacentral:rRNA from 1 species